CUACGGGUCGCUGCAGUGAGGAAUAUUGCACAAUGGGGGGAACCCUGAUGCAGCAACGCCGCGUGGAGGAUGACGCAUUUCGGUGUGUAAACUCCUUUUAUAUGUCAAGAAAAUGACGGUAGCAUAUGAAUAAGCACCGGCUAACUCCGUGCCAGCAGCCGCGGUAAUACGGAGGGUGCAAGCGUUACUCGGAAUCACUGGGCGUAAAGGACGCGUAGGCGGGUUGGAAAGUCAGGUGUGAAAUCCUACAGCUUAACUGUAGAACUGCACUUGAAACUUCUAAUCUAGAGUAUGGGAGGGGAAGAUGGAAUUAGUAGUGUAGGGGUAAAAUCCGUAGAUAUCACUAGGAAUACCUAAAGCGAAGGCGAUCUCCUGGAACAUUACUGACGCUAAGGCGUGAAAGCGUGGGGAGCAAACAGGAUUAGAUACCCCGGUAGUC
rnacentral:rRNA from 1 species